rnacentral:rRNA from 1 species
UACGAGGGGUGCAAGCGUUGCUCGGAAUUAUUGGGCGUAAAGGGCUCGUAGGCGGUUUGUCGCGUCGGGAGUGAAAACCUUGGGCUUAACUCAGGGCUUGCUUUCGAUACGGGCAGACUAGAGGUAUGCAGGGGAGAACGGAAUUCCUGGUGUAGCGGUGAAAUGCGCAGAUAUCAGGAGGAACACCGGUGGCGAAGGCGGUUCUCUGGGCAUGAUCUGACGCUGAGGAGCGAAAGUGUGGGGAGCGAACAGG